UCGAGUUUGUUUUUCCGGAUUGCGACUUAUGCUCCAUCCUAUUCACACUUUCUCUUUCAACCUUCUGACGACCAUAUCCAUUAGUUGAUGGUCUGGGCUGUAUAGCUUCUUGCAGAUUCAUUCCUUAAGUGAGCUCCACUGAUAAAAGAGAGAGAGAGAGAGAGGUGUCGAUCUGCGAACGCGGAGAUUGAUCACAUGAGGGGAAAAAGAAGGGUGGAGUCUCUCUCUUCGACGGUGGGGCACCGCCGCGCCGAAGUUCUGAAGAGUUAGAACCAAACCAGGAGAGACCGGAAGACGGGGGCCGAUGGUGUGCUAAACUGUUCAGGCUACCGACCCGCCACGCCCAAACUCC